UACAGAGGGGGCAAGCGUUAUUCGGAAUUAUUGGGCGUAAAGGGCGCGUAGGCGGCCUGGCAAGUGGAUGGUGAAAUCCCUCGGCUUAACCGAGGAACUGCCAUCCAGACUGCUUGGCUUGAGACCGGGAGAGGUGAGUGGAAUUCCCAGUGUAGCGGUGAAAUGCGUAGAUAUCGGGAGGAACACCAGUGGCGAAGGCGGUUGCCUGGAGCUUUGCUGACGCUGAGGAGCGAAAGCGUGGGGAGCGAACAGG
rnacentral:rRNA from 1 species